UAUUGGCGGAUGCGUCACCAUCAAGAUUCACAAAACUAUGAAGGCUUCAUCGGGACGGUGAGUGUACGGCCGGCGGCGGUGGCUCUUCUUACUUAAAAGGUUUCCUUUUUCGUAUGAGAAUCUUGAUGAUGCUGCAUCGGCAAAUA
rnacentral:pre_miRNA from 1 species